rnacentral:rRNA from 1 species
AUGGGGUUUCACAAGCUAAACGAGGCACUCCUCAUCCUGCUACCCAGGAGACAGGAUGCAUCCACACUCGCGCACUACCGACCAAUCAGCCUUAUACACCUCAUUGCCAAGCUCUUCGCCAAAGUUCUCUUCCUCCGGCUUGCGCCGAGUCUUCGGGAUAUGGUGUCUAUGAACCAAAGCGCGUUCAUCGUCGGAAGAAGCGCGCACGACAGUUUUCUUCUCGUCCAGCAGAUGGCCCGGCUCCUCCACAACCUCAAGGCACCACGCAUACUUCUCAAACUUGACAUCACCAAGGCGUUUGACACGGUGGCAUGGCCAUUCCUCCUCGAGACGCUUCGACACCUUGGUUUUGGCAGGCGUUGGUGCGAGUGGAUAUUGAUCCUCCUCUCCACCGCUUCCACUCGAGUUCUCGUCAACGGCACCCUCGGCCACCAAUUGCUCACGCCCAGGGACUGCGUCAAGGAGAUCUGGUGUCGCCCAUGCUGUUCACCUUGGUGA